UACGUAGGGUGCAAGCGUUAUUCGGAAUUACUGGGCGUAAAGCGUGCGCAGGCGGUUAAGUAAGACAGGCGUGAAAUCCCCGGGCUUAACCUGGGAACUGCAUUUGUGACUGCAUAGCUAGAGUACGGUAGAGGGGGAUGGAAUUCCGCGUGUAGCAGUGAAAUGCGUAGAUAUGCGGAGGAACACCGAUGGCGAAGGCAAUCCCCUGGACCUGUACUGACGCUCAUGCACGAAAGCGUGGGGAGCAAACAGG
rnacentral:rRNA from 1 species